GAGUGUGAGAUGCUAUCCGCCGCCGUCUCCUCUCCCUGGCCUCGCCGGCGUCAUCGUGAGGGCCCUCCGGCGGAGCAUGGUGGCGGGCCGCGGCCGCCGCAGUGGAGGUUCUCGGAAGGGAGCUGGGCUCUCCUUUCGGCCUACGGCGGGGGGGAGCUUCGUCGGCGGCGUCGGAUUCAGAGCCCGAGGGAAGGGAACCCUAGGAGACCCGGUGAUCGCCUUCUCCAGCCGCUAGGUCUUGGGUGUUUUCCGGUGGAAGAGGGUGGGAGAUUUCACUUUGGCCCCAUUCCGGUGGGGAGAUGCUCUGCGCGUGACCUCGUCGAUCGCACCUGCCUGGAAAUUCUGCCGCCGGCAGGUUGAUUCGGCUGGUUCGAUCGGGUGGAAGGAAGAAAUAGGAUUCUGAUGAUGGAGGGUGGAGUCGGGGACGGGGGCGGCGGCGCGAUGGAGGAUUGCAGGAAGAUCAGGAACAUCUGCAUCCUCGCGCACGUCGACCACGGGAAGACGACGCUGGCGGACCACCUGAUCGCUUCCAGCGGCGGAGGGCUCGUCCACCCGAAGCUGGCGGGGCGGCUGCGAUUCAUGGACUAUCUGGACGAGGAGCAGCGACGGGCCAUCACGAUGAAGAGCUCCUCGAUCGCGCUGCAGUACCAGGGUUACUCCGUCAACCUCAUCGAUUCCCCGGGGCACAUGGACUUCUGCAGCGAGGUCUCCACCGCCGUGCGGAUGAGCGACGGCGCCCUCGUCCUCGUCGACGCCGUCGAGGGCGUCCACAUCCAGACCCACGCGGUCCUCCGCCAGGCCUGGGCCGAGAAGCUCACCCCCUGUCUGGUGCUGAACAAGAUCGACCGCCUCAUCACCGAGCUCAAGCUCACCCCCAUGGAGGCCUACACCCGUCUGCAGAGGAUCGUCCACGAGGUCAACGGCAUCAUGAGCGCUUACCGGUCGGAGAAGUACCUCUCGGACGUGGACUCCCUCCUCGCCGGGGCCGGCGCCGGCGCCGGCGACCUGGAGCUGGUGGAGGACGAGGGGGACGACGAAGACACCUUCCAGCCGCAGAAGGGGAACGUCGCCUUCGCCUGCGCGCUGGACGGGUGGGGCUUCUGCAUCGGCAGGUUCGCCGAGAUCUACGC
rnacentral:lncRNA from 1 species